rnacentral:misc_RNA from 1 species
GAUGAAGAACGUAGCGAAAUGCGAUAAGUAAUGUGAAUUGCAGAAUUCAGUGAAUCAUCGAAUCUUUGAACGCACCUUGCACCCUUUGGCAUUCUGAAGGGUAUGCUCGUUAGAGUGUCAUUGUACUCUCACACUCCCGAUCUUUGCAUUGGGAGCAGUGGACUUGGGUUUGCUGCUUCACCGUCGCUUACCUCAAAUAGGUUAGUGCAACUCUUGGUUGGACAUAGUACGGCGUGAUAAGUGUUCUUCGCCGGUGCCUCGCAAAGAGGGUGGCCGAUCGGGAUGUUGUGCUCCAAACCGUCUUCGGACAAUCUCUGACGACUUGACCUCAAAUCGAGUAAGACUACCCGCUGAACUUAAGCAUAUCAAUAAGCGGAGGA